rnacentral:lncRNA from 1 species
GGGAAAGAUGGAGAGGGGAGGGGUGAAUAGAAAGUAGGCAGGCUUCUGGGUGGAUGGGGCCCAGCACCCACAGCCUAGGCUGGCUGCCUGAGAGUAGCGAGUGACAGGUAAGGGCUCUGAACCUUCCUGCGUGCUACCCAAGGAGUGCCUAGGGCUACCAGGAGGCCCAGGGAGGAACCUUGAGACCUGAGAAAGGCUUUUCUUCCCCGAGAGGACCACUGCUCAGGCUCAGAGGCCAUGGGGUGAAGUGCACAAAAAAGUGGGCGUCCAGCCAUGCUCUAAGUCCCCCGAAGAUGAAGACCAGGGAGCAGCUUCCUCCAAUGAAGCAGCAGCAAUCAGAGGACCAGGAGGCUGAAGCCCUGAGCCCAGCCAGAGGCAGGAUCAGCCAAGUCUGGGACAGGCUUCAAUUAUUUUAGGGAGGGCGGGGGAGUGGCAGCAGAGAGAAGCGGCAGGUAAUUUAUUCAGGAGCUGGAAGCUGAGAAACGGAUUUGAUGGAGUCUUGCUCUGUUGUCCAGGCUGGAGUGCAAUGGCGCGAUCUCACCUCACUGCAACCUCCACCUCCCCGGUUCAAGCGAUUCUCCUGCCUCAGCCUCCUGAGUAGCUGGGAUUACAGUCGUGUGCCACCAUGCCCAGCUAAAUUUUGUAUCUUUAGUAGAGAUGGGGUUUCACCAUGUUGGUCAGGCUGGUCUUGAACUCCUAACCUAGUGAUCCGCCCGCCUCGGCCUCCCAAAGUGCCAACACUCAUCACCACUCUUGCAUCUCAGAAAAAGUACAAGAAAAUAUGAAUGAAUAUUUGUUAGCUCUUUGGCGGAGUAAACACAUUAUAUGCUUUGAAGCAACAGAAGAAAUCACAGAGAACAAUUAACAGACUUAACUCUAUAAAAAACUUUACACUUCUGUACAAAAAUAAAAUAAGAAGACAUAGGGAAAUAUAUUUAUAGUAUGUGUGCACAUAUACACACACACCAACCAGAAAUAGAGUGAAUAUAUGUAAUUACAUAAUGGAUUCCCUCAGAGUGGAAAAAUAAUUUAUGUUAUAUUCAUACAGCGGAAUUUAUUUAGCCAUUGAAAUGAAUAAAAUGGAUCUUAAAAUCUGUCAAAAUG